rnacentral:rRNA from 1 species
UGGGGAAUAUUGCACAAUGGGCGAAAGCCUGAUGCAGCGACGCCGCGUGAGGGAUGACGACCUUCGGGUUGUAAACCUCUUUCAGCAGGGAAGAAGCGAAAGUGACGGUACCUGCAGAAGAAGCGCCGGCUAACUACGUGCCAGCAGCCGCGGUAAUACGUAGGGCGCAAGCGUUGUCCGGAAUUAUUGGGCGUAAAGAGCUCGUAGGCGGUUAGUCGCGUCUGCUGUGAAAACUCGAGGCUCAACCUCGGGCUUGCAGUGGGUACGGGCUGACUAGAGUGCGGUAGGGGUGACUGGAAUUCCUGGUGUAGCGGUGGAAUGCGCAGAUAUCAGGAGGAACACCGAUGGGCGAAGGCAGGUCACUGGGCCGCAACUGACGCUGAGGAGCGAAAAGCAUGGGGAGCGAACAGGAUUAGAUACCCUGGUAGUCCAUGCCGUAAACGUUGGGCACUAGG